GUCUUGUAAUUGGAAUGAUGGUGACCUAAACCCUCACCAGAGUAACAAUUGGAGGGCAAGUCUGGUGCCAGCAGCCGCGGUAAUUCCAGCUCCAAUAGCGUAUAUUAAACUUGUUGCAGUUAAAAAGCUCGUAGUUGAAUUUUUGCGUGGUGUUAAUAUUGACUAAUGUCGAGAUUGCACUUCGCUUUUGGGAUUUAUCCCUUUUUACUUUGAGAAAAUUAGAGUGUUUCAAGCAGACUUUUGUCUUGAAUACUUCAGCAUGGAAUAAUAGAGUAGGACUUUGGUUCUAUUUUGUUGGUUUGUGAACCUUAGUAAUGGUUAAUAGGAACGGUUGGGGGCAUUCGUAUUUAACUGUCAGAGGUGAAAUUCUUAGAUUUGUUAAAGUCAAACUACUGCGAAAGCAUUUGCCAAAGACGUUUUCAUUAAUCAAGAACGUAAGUAGUGCGAGCGAA
rnacentral:rRNA from 1 species